UACGAAGGGGGCUAGCGUUGUUCGGAAUUACUGGGCGUAAAGGGCGCGUAGGCGGUAAUAUAAGAUAGGGGUGAAAUCCCAGAGCUCAACUCUGGAACUGCCCUUAUUACUGUAUAACUAGAGGCCGAGAGAGGGUAGCGGAAUAUCCAGUGUAGAGGUGAAAUUCGUAGAUAUUGGAUAGAACACCGGUGGCGAAGGCGGCUACCUGGCUCGGAUCUGACGCUGAGGCGCGAAAGCGUGGGGAGCAAACAGGAUUAGAUACCCUGGUAGUCCACGCUGUAAACGAUGAGUGCUAGUUGUUGGGCAAUUAUAUUGUUCAGUGACGCAGCUAACGCGAUAAGCACUCCGCCUGGGGAAUACGGCCGCAAGGCUAAA
rnacentral:rRNA from 1 species